GCCGGUGCCGUCGAUGAUGGCUGUGACGGUGGAGAGGGCUUUGGCGUUGCCCUUGAGGCUCUUGAACAUCUGUGAGAGGAGGAAGGAGAGAUGAAGUCGUGGCCCACUUUCCAAACCUGGCUGGUCCGGAGCCCCCAUGUCUGAAACUGUCUCCACCAGAUCUGGAAGCUCACAAGUCACUUUAUUCCUCCAGCCUCACAGACCCAGCCUUCAGGCCAAAUAAGCUUAAUCCCUUUCCCAGAUUUCUUAGGCCUAACCUUCUGCUGACUUUCACUACUCAACCGAGGUGCACACAGGGGUGUGUGUGCACAUGUAUAGAGACAGCAGCAUGCACAACACAGAGAAGGGCACACAGCUCUCAGAGCACGCACGCUUUGCACUGAGUUCA